CACACCGAGUGUGGAGAUUUUGCCGACCGACAGCGUUUUCUGGGUUGCCUCGGCCGCUGUUUCCUCGCUUCCUUAAUACUUUCCCGAGAUCGUCAUUCCGUAGCGAGUCUUCUCCUAAGUAUUGAACUUGAUCUCGAUUCAAUUUUUUCUUGCUUUUUCAUGUUUUCUUCUGCGGGGUUUUGCACGAAACUUGGAUGGUUCUUCGGGUCUUGGUCAACAAUCAUGUUAGUUCGUCAGAAUCGAGACUCGUUUAUUGCCAGAUGGAAUGAUUUUGGACACCACGCCAAGCCUGACGCCGACCCAAUUCCUGGAACCACUGCUCCUGGGGAGGUGAAGUUAAGAGAAUUGUCUCAGAUUGGUUUUUGGGUGAGGCAGAGACUCCCACCUUCCUGUUCUUUUUUGUUUGCAUAAGCUAAAAUAUUCUUGGUAAGUGAACCUUUUUAUCUUUCACCUGUUUAUUACUUGAAAUUGAGGAUUUUUGUUAAUUCUUUUGAGUUUUUUUUGUCCAAUAAGUGAACUUUGAAUUUCCUGCCCUGAAGUCCCUUCCAUCUUCUUCAUUAAAUCUACUUUUAACAAAAAUCAGCUUCUGUAUCAAUGACGAAGUCAAUUGGCAUCUCCAAACAUGAGCAUCGACAGUAGCAAUUCUGAAUGAUUUAUCCUGGGCUGCCCUGCUCAUGUCAAUUGGCCAUGAGAACACUGUGCAUGCUGAUGAAGAACCAAAUGCAGAUAUGAACUCCUUUUUUGCCCUUAUGGGCUAUUCUCCAGGUGGUAAACGCCUUAGCUUUGCUGAUGAUUUACUGCUUCUUUGUGAUGGCAAGAACAGAUCUGUUCAAAGGCUACAGCGAGCAAAAUUUAGAUGCAAGAGACCCUCAAUCUGUUAAGAUACAAGGAAAGGCACCAUUGGAACUCAGGAUUCCCAUUUGUAUCUUCCAGAUUAUGUACAAAGACAGGUGACUCUGGAGAAAAUUUCUCCUAAAUUGCAGGGUGUUCCUAAAUUGUAGAUUGUCUACGGACAAAGUGUUCCAAUCACAAAUCAAUCGCAAGUGCAUGUGGUGUCCAAGUGUGACAAAAGGAAGAUUCAUCAGGUCCAAGAGCUUGUAUGUUUAUAUGCAGGAUUCUUAUCGGGAUACCAGCCUGCUUUAUACUGGUCCUUAAUCUGAGCAGAUUCAAGUUAUGUUUUGGUCCCCUACCAUGAUUGACACAGCGAGGCUUUCUGCCAUCAUCUUUUUCACCAGAUGAUCCAUCUUCUAUUGUCUGUCGAACAUGGAGAAUGUGAUCUGUCCAUGGCUUCCAUUCCCAAGCAAAGAUUUCCUUUCACGUGCAUCAGAAGCUAAUGGUCCAAUUCGGUCGUACGGGUGUGGUGAUUUGUGCACCUCAAGAGAGUACUCUGCUACUGCGUGUUGCUCUGAUACAGAUAUAUGCCAAUCCACCAGGAGCUGAGAUCUAUCAUGCAGAUGUUUAAUGCGAUACUGUCUCCAACUCUGUUUUAGUGGCGUAAUCGCAUUUCCUGCUGCAAGCAGACUGAAAUGGUGGUGGCUUCCUGCAUUCUGAUACGUGACAAAAAUCCUCUAACUUACCAUUACAGAGAUGUUCACUUUUCUCCAUCUCGCUCUCUCUAUGGGGCCGCCAUGUCCUGAAGAAUGAGGGAGCCUGGGUGGUGUUCCAAGGAAGGUGUGUCAGCCAUUGCUAUUGCUCUCCCAGUAAAUGGUUGGGAGCCACUGCAUGCUUGUGAGGGAACAAGGAGACUGCUUCCUUUGCAAGGUGGAAAUAUGACCCAAGUAGUCCAAGAUCUAAGCCAGAAUGGAUCUUUACAGUCUGACAAAAGCUGCAAGGUCUAUGAAUGGCGAGCAAUCAGGUUGCAGGGGUAGACGUGGAGUUAUUGCAUCCUGCACAGAAUCGAAGUCAUCUUGGUGACGAUCUAUCUACACAUGGAAGCACUGUGAAGAACACUGCAGUGCAUGAGCCAACAUGAACAUGGAACAGCUAGGCCCAUGCAUAAGUUUCCAUCAAGGCGUCGGGAUCUGUCCUGGUUAGAACAUCCCUUCACUCUGCAGCAGGGAAUUGUACCUCCCCAUUCAUUGCGGAGCAAAUGCAAGUCAGUGAAAGAGACGACAGGGUGUUCGAAUAGGCCAGAAUUCUGUAAAUUAGAUGCCUCGAUAAGGGUCUUAAUUGGGGUCAUCAAUGAAUAGUGCUUUGAAGGGCCUCAAACUGGGUGUUUGCCGGAGACUGCUACUUCAAAUGGGCUUCAUCUGAAGCUGACAAUAAAUGCAGCAAUUCUACCCCCAGAAAGAAAACUACGUGGCCUGAGUUGUGGGAUCUGAAAUGAAUGAGAGCAGUCAUUGACCUCAACAUCCUUUCAUGUGGGGAGGCAGUGGCAGAAAUCAAGUCCCCACACAACAUCAUUGCAGGUGGAGCACACAAAUGCACAGUGCAGGCCAGCAGAGGAAACGAAGGCCAAGAGGGGAGGAAGAAGAGGAUGAGGAUGAUCUCGUGACCCAUCAUGAUGGAAAAGUGUGAUCAAACCUUGCAGAGAAACUAAGGCAACAAUUACAAGGACUUUAGUAAUGAAAUAAAAUGGAUGAUGAUCUAUGUUGUCUUGUUGCUUUCACCAGCCCCUUCUCAACUCAGUUUGUGUGUGGGAUCAUGGGUGAUAUCAGAUUCUGGCUGUCUCCUAUCCUGAUAGGUUGACCGGAUGACUUUUCUUUUCACGAAGGAUGUAACAGAUGCUUCAAAGAUAUUAUCAUCGGACUCAACCACAUGAAUUGGUUACUGCAAUUGGGACACGGAGACUUGACGAGAAAACUCCUGCAUUUCUCCUUAGAUUUGAGGAACCGCAGGUAGAUGUUCUCUUUCUGACCAGACUUCUGAAUCAACAAAUGCUAUUAUG